AAUGACGUCAACAGUGACAGUAAACGUUACGGCGCAGAAGCUAGCCAACGCUAUGGAAAACAUAAUUCAUGAGAUGUCCGAGCCGGUGUUCCUGCAGACCCGCGCAGCGCAGGUCAUUGCGGGCAUUUUCGUGUGGAGCGCGCUCUUUAUCACUUGUCAACAGAUCUACCAGCACCUGCGCUGGUACACAAACCCGUCGGAGCAGCGUUGGAUCGUGCGCAUCCUGUUCAUCGUGCCGAUCUACGGCUGUUACAGCUGGAUCUCGCUGCUCUUCUUCAAUAGCGACUCGUAUUAUGUCUAUUUUUUCACCGUCAGGGAUUGCUAUGAAGCAUUCGUGAUCUACAGCUUCCUAUCGCUCUGUUAUGAGUACCUCGGCGGUGAAGGCAACAUAAUGUCUGAGCUACGUGGCCGGCCCGUGCGAGCUUCCUGUAUAAACGGCACUUGCUGCCUAUCCGGUGCCACUUACACGAUUGGUUUCCUGCGCUUCUGCAAACAAGCCACCCUUCAAUUCUGCCUCGUUAAGCCUGUUUGCGCGUUUGUUAUCAUCUUUUUGCAGUCGGCGAACUUGUACAGCGACGGUGACUGGUCCCCGCAUGGCGGCUAUCUCUACAUCACGAUUGUGUACAACUUCUCCGUGAGCUUGGCCCUGUACGGCCUCUUCAUGUUCCUCGGCGCCACAAGGGAGAUGCUCAAGCCUUUUGACCCGGUGCUCAAGUUCUUUACCGUCAAAUCCGUAAUUUUCCUCUCGUUCUGGCAAGGUGUAGCCCUAGCCAUCCUAGAGAAGGCCGAAGUUAUAUCGCCAAUCAUAAUCGACGGUCAGCCGACCACCGCUGGUACAGUCUCUGCUGGCUAUCAGAACUUCUUGAUCUGCAUUGAAAUGCUGGCUGCAGCAGUCGCGCUGCGUUAUGCCUUCCCUGCUAGCGUCUAUGCGCAUGCACACCGUGAUCCACACCGCUCUGUUACAAUGCAGUCCAUCUCUUCCAGCCUUAAGGAGACAAUGAAUCCCAAGGACAUUAUGACGGACGCGUUCCACAAUUUCCACCCGCAGUACCAGCAGUACACUCAGUACAGCUCCGAUGUAACUUCUCACCUGCCUUACGAAAAACUAUAAGCUCUGCCAUAGCCGUGCUCUGCAUGACGCAUUGCUGUUCGUUGUAUUACAUAAUACCAUCCACAUUCGUAAAUGAUUGUGGGUGACCUGUCAAUAUACAUAGAGAACAUAUGUAGAGAUUCUAUGAAUUUUGACACUAACUUACAGUUGUUUGCGGAUAAGACAAUAAGUUUACCGAGCAUGGAAACAUCACUAACUUUUGUACAGCUAAUUCAUGUGUUAUGCCUGACGAUAAAUCUCAUUCGUAAUAUCCAAAGCUGUAUGAAAACAUUUUACAUUGUCUUGCCAAUUUGCGAAUUAACCGGAAUCGAACUUUGUAUUCGAAGUGCUGAUUAGGUGUUAUCAAAAUUAAUGAAAACUGCAAUAGGUAAUUGUACACAGUCAUAUAUUUGCUCUUUUAAAUUUCGUCUAUUCAUGUGAAAGAAACAAUUAAAAUGAAAGAAUCCGUUAGACAAGAGAAAUUAAGAGACUUUUUGUUAGCCAUAACACUUUUAACGGAAAUAAUCUUAAAAUUGAGAUAUAUAUUUUUUAGACAUUCACACCUUUUCAAUAUUUUUCGUAAACAAAUAGAUUUUGCCGUUUUGUCAUUAAUUUUAUCGAGAAGAAUUCAGUUGUUUCGGUGCUCGGCCCUAUUCUAUUCUUAUUUAAGAUGUUUAAGUAAAUAUUAUUUUUUAUAAUUUUGUAAUAAUUAUCCGGUACUUGACUAGUCCGAAACAAAUAACACAUACAUUACAGUCGCCUUGUUGGUUAAAUAUUCUCUAUUUGACACUGCAAUACACGUUUUGUACACAAGUGUUUAAUAAUGUUCAAACCAAUGCGAUGUUCUUUUUUUAAUUCGAAUAAUAAAAAUAAGAGAUAGAACUAAAAAGAUAGAA